rnacentral:miRNA from 1 species
CGGCCUUUACUCCUACCUUACC